rnacentral:rRNA from 1 species
ACCUGCGGAAGGAUCAUUAUUGAAACACUGUAAAGGAGAGUUGAGCUGGUCCUUCAUGGGCAAGUGCUUGCUCUUCUUUCAAUCUUCAUCCACCUGUGCACUUUUUGUAGAGAGUUCUAAGAAAACUAGGCCUUGUAACAGAGGUCUUUUUAGUAUUGGGGCUUCUCUAUGUCUUUACAAACUCUGAAUGUAUGUCAUUGAAUGUCUUUUACAAGGGACUUGAUUGACCCUUUUAAAAACAAUACAACUUUCAGCAACGGAUCUCUUGGCUCUCGCAUCGAUGAAGAACGCAGCGAAAUGCGAUAAGUAAUGUGAAUUGCAGAAUUCAGUGAAUCAUCGAAUCUUUGAACGCACCUUGCGCCUCUUGGUAUUCCGAGAGGCAUGCCUGUUUGAGUGUCAUUAAAUUCUCAACCUCAUAAGCUUUUUUGGUUCCUAAGGUUGGAAGGGGAAGGUUUUGCUGGUUGGCCAAAUCCACUCCCUCUAAAUGUAUUAAUGGAAAAACCUUGUGUACCCCACUGUGGUGAUAUUAAUAUCAGCUCUUGUGGGUGCUCACUCUUGCAGAGUGUUAUUGUGGAGAGUGUACGUGCUAUUCCUGCUCUUUCUGCAUCAGUUUGAGAUGAUUGAAUCUGCGAUCUGCUUUCAACUGUCAUUAGUCACUGCUUGAUUCUUGUGUAUUCAAACCUCAAAUGACGACGGACUAACCUUAGAAUUUAAAUUAU